rnacentral:rRNA from 1 species
AGUGAACGCUGGCGGUAGGCCUAACACAUGCAAGUCGAACGGCAGCACAGUAAGAGCUUGCUCUUACGGGUGGCGAGUGGCGGACGGGUGAGGAAUACAUCGGAAUCUACUUUUUCGUGGGGGAUAACGUAGGGAAACUUACGCUAAUACCGCAUACGACCUACGGGUGAAAGCAGGGGAUCUUCGGACCUUGCGCGAUUGAAUGAGCCGAUGUCGGAUUAGCUAGUUGGCGGGGUAAAGGCCCACCAAGGCGACGAUCCGUAGCUGGUCUGAGAGGAUGAUCAGCCACCCUGGAACUGAGACACGGUCCAGGCUCCUACGGGAGGCAGCAGUGGGGAAUAUUGGACAAUGGGCGCAAGCCUGAUCCAGCCAUACCGCGUGGGUGAAGAAGGCCUUCGGGUUGUAAAGCCCUUUUGUUGGGAAAGAAAAGCAGCAGGUUAAUACCCCGCUGUUCUGACGGUACCCAAAGAAUAAGCACCGGCUAACUUCGU